CUCGUAGGCGGCCGACUAAGUCAGUUGUGAAAUCCCUCGGCUUAACCGGGGAAUUGCGUCUGAUACUGGACGGCUUGAGUUUGGGAGAGGGAUGCGGAAUUCCAGGUGUAGCGGUGAAAUGCGUAGAUAUCUGGAGGAACACCGGUGGCGAAGGCGGCAUCCUGGACCAACACUGACGCUGAUGAGCGAAAGCCAGGGGAGCAAACG
rnacentral:rRNA from 1 species